rnacentral:rRNA from 1 species
GACGAACGCUGGCGGCGUGCCUAAUACAUGCAAGUCGAACGCUGAAGGAGGAGCUUGCUUCUCUGGAUGAGUUGCGAACGGGUGAGUAACGCGUAGGUAACCUGCCUGGUAGUGGGGGAUAACUAUUGGAAACGAUAGCUAAUACCGCAUAAUAGCAGUUGUUGCAUGAUAACUGUUUGAAAGGUGCAAUUGCACCGCUACCAGAUGGACCUGCGUUGUAUUAGCUAGUUGGUGGGGUAACGGCUCACCAAGGCGAGGAUACAUAGCCGACCUGGGAGGGGGAUCGGCCAACCUGGGACUGGGACACGGCCCCGACUCCUUCGGGGGGCAGCCGUAGGGAAUCUUCGGCAAUGGACGGAAGUCUGACCGAGCAACGCCGCGUGAGUGAAGAAGGUUUUCGGAUCGUAAAGCUCUGUUGUAAGGGAAGAACGAGUGUGAGAGUGGAAAGUUCACACUGUGACGGUAUCUUACCAGAAAGGGACGGCUAACUACGUG